AUGCACCCUGAUCUGCCUUUCGGGACACACACUGGUAGCUAUGGGCACCUUAUGCAUGCCCAUUGUUGGCAAAGGUAUUUUGAUUCUAUUCAAACUAAAGAGCAGAGAAGGCAACAAAGAUUAUGCUUACAUACGAGCUAUGAUGUAGAGAAUGGAGAGUUCCUCUGCCUGCUGUGUGAAUGCUUGAGCAAUACUGUUAUUCCUCUGCUGCUUCCUCCAAGAAAUAUUUUUAGCAGCAGGUUAAAUUUUUCAGACCAACCAAAUCUGACCCAGUGGAUUAGAACAAUAUCUCAGCAGAUAAAAGCAUUGCAGAGUCUUAGGAAAGAAGAAAAUGCUUCCAUUCCUGCCUCUUCAGAGAAUUCAAAGAACGUGGAAGAAGUACAGCUCCUUGAAGGUUUCAGGCCUGAUUUUCAUCCUCAGAACCCUUAUUCUGAGAGCAUUAAGGAAAUUCUGACAACAUUUGGAACUGCUUCCUACAAGGUGGGACUAAAAGUUCACCCCAAUGAAGAGGAUCCCCGUGUGCCCAUAAUGUGUUGGAGCAGCUGUGCGUACACCAUCCAGAGCAUGGGUAAGAGGUUUACAGCUAUUUCUCUUUAAGUCACCAGCAUACAUUGAUGUGAAUUGUGUGUAGAAUCCUGCUUUUAAGUGAGAUCCUUAAAGUGCACAACAAUAUGAAGAAAUAAAAAGCCUUAAAAUCAAGAAAUGUAGUUCAUUGAC
rnacentral:lncRNA from 1 species